rnacentral:rRNA from 1 species
GACGAACGCUGGCGGCGUGCUUAACACAUGCAAGUCGAACGGUGAACCGGGCUUCGGCCCGGGGAUCAGUGGCGAACGGGUGCGUAACACGUGGGCAACCUGCCUCAGACACUGGGGAUAACCCCGGGAAACCGGGGCUAAUACCGGAUACUCCGACCGGACUGCAUGAUCCGGCCGGGAAAGCUCCGACGGUCUGAGAUGGGCCCGCGGCCUAUCAGCUUGUUGGUGGGGUAACGGCCCACCAAGGCGACGACGGGAGCUGGUCUGAGAGGACGACCAGCCACACUGGAACUGAGACACGGUCCAGACUCCUACGGGAGGCAGCAGUGGGGAAGUCUUGCGCAAUGGGCGAAAGCCUGACGCAGCGACGCCGCGUGGGGA